CAUCGCUUCACCCUUGCUACCUUAUCUUCACCUUCGAGGACUCCCAUCCACAUCUCUUUUACCUUCCAUCUUCUUCUCUCCUUCCCCAGCAUAUUCAGCGUCCUCCAUCACGCGCGCCUAUGAUGGAGAGCACCGUACCCAUGGAGUUUCCUUUCGAGCCAGGCGAGGAGGCAGGGGCCUUCUUUGACAUUGGAGCUGGGCGGAUGUGUUGGGUCAGGGCUUCUGGCGAUUAGGCGAUAGCGUGCCCUGCUUUGUCAUUGGACGUGUUCAUCCAGUGUGAGCAUUCCACUUCUUCCAUGGCAUUCUGAUCGCGUUCAGGACCUCUUCAUCGCCGAGCAGUGCUCCUCCCUGUUGAUCUUUUUAGCUUGAUGUGUAGGAGGCUUGUGAGCUGCUUUCCAGCACCUUUGUAUCUUGCCGUUUUCUUUUCUUUCUUGUGCUGGUUCCGAGUUGUAAUCCUAGCCGGUUGAUGGCUUUGUUAAUUCAAAACUGGGCCCUUCUUGAGCUU